rnacentral:ncRNA from 1 species
GAACAGACGAUGAAGAGAAGAGUAAGCGCUGAGAUACGUCACAGAGAGCCUCGGUUGGUGAGAUGAGGCACGGAAGGCAGAGCCGAACAUGGUCUUGGAGUUGCGCACCGACUGCGGUUUCCCGCAUAGGCUGCGACGGUUGCACCCGUCAUCGUGCAGGAGUAUGCUUGUACUCUCAAAGGCCGUUUUCGCGAGGAAACGGCGAACCAAGGUGGUACCACGACCGAUAUUUUCGAUCGUCCUUGAU